AGUAGCAACAGCAACAGCAGCAAUUCAACUAGCAAACUCCUGCUGCCCAGAGAAGUGGCUACGACAUUCUGCUGAUGACCACAACGUUGUCUAUCCACAGCUAGUAAAUGAAAGGCUCGCAUGUAGU
rnacentral:lncRNA from 1 species